rnacentral:rRNA from 1 species
CCUUGAUCCCUGAGAUUAGCGGCGGACGGGUGAGUAACACGUGGGCAACCUGCCUAUAAGACUGGGAUAACUUCGGGAAACCGGAGCUAAUACCGGAUACGUUCUUUUCUCGCAUGAGAGAAGAUGGAAAGACGGUUUACGCUGUCACUUAUAGAUGGGCCCGCGGCGCAUUAGCUAGUUGGUGAGGUAAUGGCUCACCAAGGCGACGAUGCGUAGCCGACCUGAGAGGGUGAUCGGCCACACUGGGACUGAGACACGGCCCAGACUCCUACGGGAGGCAGCAGUAGGGAAUCUUCCGCAAUGGACGAAAGUCUGACGGAGCAACGCCGCGUGAACGAAGAAGGCCUUCGGGUCGUAAAGUUCUGUUGUUAGGGAAGAACAAGUACCAGAGUAACUGCUGGUACCUUGACGGUACCUAACCAGAAAGCCACGGCUAACUACGUGCCAGCAGCCGCGGUAAUACGUAGGUGGCAAGCGUUGUCCGGAAUUAUUGGGCGUAAAGCGCGCGCAGGUGGUUCCUUAAGUCUGAUGUGAAAGCCCACGGCUCAACCGUGGAGGGUCAUUGGAAACUGGGGAACUUGAGUGCAGAAGAGGAAAGUGGAAUUCCAAGUGUAGCGGAGGGU